UCCAGGUGAGUAACAUGCUGUCAUUCACUUUUAACAGUAAGACUUGUCUAUACCACUGAUUAAAUCAGACCCACAGUGUAAACAUGUUCAUACUGCUGAUUCUUAAUAAUGAAUAUACCACUGCCUGUAUUAUGUAUUUUACAGUAUAUCCAUAUUUGUAUUACUCUUGUUUAUAUAGUGUGUGAACAUUGAAUUCUUAUCAUACCUGUGGUUGUCUACCCUUUUCCUUGCAUUUACAUUUCAUAAUACUGUAUUUUUGCAUAUUCAUAUCUAUCCUCACAAUUUAUUUUAUACAUACACACAAACAGAUCUUACAUGUUUGAAUAUAAAAAAACUUGUAUGAUCUAAAGGAAUUGUCCUAUCACAUGUUUCUGUAUCAGGACCAGAAGUCCAGCCUUUUCUUCUGCAUCUGGCCUCAUCAAUCAUCAACCACAUUACAUCAACACCUUGAGGGAUGGAAGAAUCCACCUCAGGCAAGAAAAGGGUGACAAAGACGUUCGCUGGUGCUGCUUCUGAAACAGUUGCCUGGGUUACCAAUGUUGGCGUUUUGGCUUUCCAGGAUGGCGGCCAGAAUGAUGACGCCACAUCUUGGAGGCUUUACUGGAUUCUCUCUGCAUCCAGGACAUUUGGAGAAAUUACAGUAGAAAUGUAAAAUAAUCCUUCAUAGCUCAGUGAGGACAGAGCAACAGUCUGACAGGUCGACCGGAAGCUGUUGCAGCCGUCCAUAAGUGAUGGAGGGAAGGAGCCGUUAUUCAUCAUCAGUCUUAGUGUUAGAAAACGUUUUACAGUUUAACGUUAGCACACAUGCUAACUUCAGCUACAAUAACAAGUUACUCCUCACAUAUAUGAUAUUAGCCUGUAAGACUAAUGUAACAGUUGUGACAGCUAACCGUGUUAGCAGCAUCUUAGCACGGCUCAGCCAGGAGCCUGUUGAUGCAGGUGGGUUUACCUGGUGUCCUCGAGGACACAGGUCAGAUCCACCCCUCCCUCCUCCCCAGCUCCACCCUCUCAUCCAAAUAUAAAAGAAACCCAAGAUGGCGACGUCGUCCAGUAACCCAAACUCAUGGCUUCAAAAUGGAAGUUUGCCACUUGACACAGACGCAUAGACAACAGAACAGUGUUUUAGUGUUUGGUCUGACUGAAGAUCUUGUUUAUUGAACAAAGUUCCCUGAGCUGAUGGAAUCUGGUGCCAAAGCAAAUGAAUUGGUGAUUGUCAAGUUUGUACUGUUUUCUUUUAUGGUAUAUGGUGCACAAACACACAGACUAGUAAAGUCCAGGCAGGAAGAGAACAACAAGAAGCAGCUGGUUCAGCUUCAACCCUGGUUCUUUCCUGCAGUGUUGCGUGUUCUCCUUGUUUCCUCCAGGACUCUGAUCACUAGAACAAAGACAUGACAUUUCAUUCACUGAGGAAUCUAAACUGUCCGUAGGUUUGAUUAUGUGUCUGUGUUGUGUGAUAAACCAUUUACCUUCUUUCCUCCCAGUGCAUGCUGGGAUACAUUCCAGUACUUCAGACUUUUUUGUUUGAAGUUUGAAUGUUUGAUGUGAUGAAGAAAAGUUUGUUUCAUUUCAGCCAGAGUCACAAAGUUUGAAUGUAGAAGUCACAUAAAUGUCAAACUAAUUAGAUUUACCCUGAAAUUACAGAGAUCUUUAAAUUGUUUGUAUUCACAUUAACCUUUAUAAUAAUAAGUUACAUUUUUAAUUACAGAUCAUUACUGUCCUUUUACACAGAUUUGUAUGUAAUUUAAGCACAAAAAAUACUGUAUAAAUAAGUAAUUUCUCUUUACAAAAAAUGGGAAAUAAAUCAUUAUUAUUGGCGUAAUGCUUAAAAUUGAAUUACAGACUUUUGUUCACAAUUUAAAACAGAAAAUUACUGUUAAAGUUAUUUUGCUUAAAAUUAGGAUUUUUUUUUAUAGUGUAAGACAUUUUUAAUUUUUAUACCUUACUAUACAUACUUUUUUUAAAUUUUUAUGACACUUUACUAUGACUUUUUUUUAUUUUCAUGCCUUAAUUUACUGACGUUUUUAUCCCUUACUAAACAAGGUUUUUAUUCUCACAUUCCUUGUUAGUACAGUGGAUAAAACUGUCGCCUUUACAAUGAGAAAGUUCUUGGUUCAAAUCCUGAACACGGAGGGUUUUUUUUGACAAUGUUACGCUUUACUGUAGUGUGACGUUUUUAUAGCCAACUAUACUGUUUUUUUUAAUUUUCAUGCCUUACUAUACUAUGUUUUUAUGCCUGAAUGUACUGUGAAAUUUUUGGGCAUUUUUAUCACUUACUAAACAAAGUUUUUAUUCUCAUAUUCCUUUGUAGUGCUUUGGUUAGAACAGCUGCCUUCCAGUGAGAAGGUUCUGGGUUUGAAUCGUGGGCCUUGGGCCAUUCUGCAUGUUCUCCCUGCACCUUCAUGGGUUCUCUCUCUGUACUCCUGCUUUCUUAAGGUUUCCUUAAAACGUUCACUGAAGUUUUCUCCUUAUACUUAAGGAAUCAUUUAAAGUUAAUGAAAUCGUUGCUCAAAAGACCUUAGUGACCAAAGUAGGUAAAAGUCACCUCUGAGUUUAAUGUGAUGAAUGGAGAAAAUGAAUGUAACCCAAGAAGACGCACCUAUUCUACAGCUUUUCCUUAACUAAGGAAACCUUUACCUUUACUGUUACCUACACACACACCUUAGCUCCUGCUGUAGCUAACUAUACAUCUCCAGCCCCACUGCUUCCUGUCAGUAAAUCUGUAGAGUAUGGGUUGAGCUAAAUACUCACAGCAGACCAAACUGUAGAGCCACCUCAGUCAACACCAGAGGAUGCUGUGGUUCACAACCUGCACUGCAGGAAAAGAGGCAAACACACUCCUCUGCACUAAUGAGAUCGGCUUCACUGUGGUAAACACCAGCUUUAUGUGUUUUUAACUGGGCAACAAAUAUGACCUAAUUAAUAUCUCUUCAUUUUGCCACAGUUGUGAAAACCAAACUAAAGAUAAAGGGUGUAGGGGUGUAAAAGGUUUCAUUAUGUUCUGACCUGGAAUCAGUCAAAAAAACUCACAAAGGCCCCAGACUUCUGCUGCAGGCCAAGAAAUGUAGUUUAGUAUUAAAUCUUAGAGAAAUCCACCAGAGGAGCCAGAAUCAGUGACAGUGAGUGACACAAAUGUAAAGUAUCAGUGACAGUGUUUCAGGAUCUCAGAGAUGGAUUUCACUUGUUUAAAGAAAAAUAAGAUCAUUAGACUCAGAACUAGAAUAAUGAGUUGAUGAAUGUUUUUUUUCCUGGCUUUCAGUCGAUCACUCGCUGAUGGUCUUUUCAGAGAAACAGCAUCUGUCACUGUUGACAAAGGAGGGUUUGUGGGUGAAGUGCCUUGCUCAAGGCCACAGGAGUGACAGCAUUUCCCCCCCCACCCCCCAACCUACCAGCUUAAAGGCUUUGAGCUGCUGCUGCCCCAGGAUGAUAUACUGCCCCGGGUCCUGCUCAUCUCCAGUCGCUGCGUGUGCUUCGGUCCCUUCUCCUCAGGAUACACAGCAUGGAGGCAGCGCACAGAAAUACACUGAGAGAGGAGCCGGCCCCGACGCUCCCCGCUCGGCUGUCAGCCGCUGUCCCUUCUACCUGAUGCAGGUCUACGUCUGAGCCUCACAUGGACCUCUCUGACUGCUCCUGCCUGGAGUGAACCGAGCCUGUGAACGCAAUGACCCCGUCCAAUCAACAGCCCCCGAGAGGAAGGAGAGGGGGAAAAAAAAAAAAACCUUCUGCGCAGCAUAUCAAAGCAGAACUCCUGUACCCCUCGCUUCAAAUUAGAAAAGCAUAAAAGUGCGAGAAAAAUAAGCAUCACACAUGUUUCGAAUAUGCGGCGUUUUAAUUGAUAAUAAAUAGUGUUUUUGUGGACUGAAGUGCUGAGGUGGUAAAAGGAGGUUUUUUUUAAUGGAAAAUCAGCCGAGGAGAAAAAUAAUUGAUGGUUGUUUUGAUAGUUGAACCAGUUCCCUCAGCUGACCUGAUGCUGCACCUGCGAAUGAUAUUAACUUCAGUCAGACUCAAUUGUUGCUGCAUUAGAGGAAUAAUAAUGUGAACAUGUGUAUCAGUGAUAACCAGAUUAUCAGGCUCCAGUCCAGUGGCCCCCGACCUUUUACACUGACCAUGAACCCUGUGACUCGUCUCUGCUGCCGCUUUUUAACAGAGACGUAAAAUCCCCCAAAACGUCGUGACGUCUGAGUUCAGACAACAAGAGGCCUGAAGAGCUGAACGUGUCCGUUUUUAAUGUAGAUAGUCAAGGCAAGUUUAUUUACAGAGCAUCAUUCAAACACAAGGCAACUCAAAGUGUUUUACAGAGGCGAAGAAAUACAUUAAAAACAU